GAUGAACGCUGGCGGCGUGCUUAACGCAUGCAAGUCGAACGGAAAGGCUCCUGCUUGCAGGGGUACUCGAGUGGCGAACGGGUGAGUAACACGUGGGUGAUCUGCCCUGCACUUCGGGAUAAGCCUGGGAAACUGGGUCUAAUACCGGAUAGGACGAUGGUUUGGAUGCCAUUGUGGAAAGUUUUUCGGUGUGGGAUGAGCUCGCGGCCUAUCAGCUUGUUGGUGGGGUAAUGGCCUACCAAGGCGUCGACGGGUAGCCGGCCUGAGAGGGUGUACGGCCACAUUGGGACUGAGAUACGGCCCAGACUCCUACGGGAGGCAGCAGUGGGGAAUAUUGCACAAUGGGCGCAAGCCUGAUGCAGCGACGCCGCGUGGGGGAUGACGGCCUUCGGGUUGUAAACUCCUUUCGCUAGGGACGAAGCGCAAGUGACGGUACCUGGAGAAGAAGCACCGGCUAUCUACGUG
rnacentral:rRNA from 1 species